rnacentral:rRNA from 1 species
GACGAACGCUGGCGGCGUGCUUAACACAUGCAAGUCGAACGGAAAGGCCCUGCUUUUGUGGGGUGCUCGAGUGGCGAACGGGUGAGUAACACGUGAGUAACCUGCCCUUGACUUUGGGAUAACUUCAGGAAACUGGGGCUAAUACCGGAUAGGAGCUCCUGCUGCAUGGUGGGGGUUGGAAAGUUUCGGCGGUUGGGGAUGGACUCGCGGCUUAUCAGCUUGUUGGUGGGGUAGUGGCUUACCAAGGCUUUGACGGGUAGCCGGCCUGAGAGGGUGACCGGCCACCUUGGGCCUGAGGUACGCCCCAGACUCCUACGGGCGGCAGCAGUCGGGAAUAUUGCACAAUGGGCGGAAGCCUGAUGCAGCAACGCCGCGUGCGGGAUGACGGCCUUCGGGUUGUAAACCGCUUUCGCCUGUGACGAAGCGUGAGUGACGGUAAUGGGUAAAGAAGCACCGGCUAGCUACGUG